UACAGAGGUCUCAAGCGUUGUUCGGAUUCAUUGGGCGUAAAGGGUGCGUAGGCGGCGCGGUAAGUCGGGUGUGAAAUCUCGGAGCUUAACUCCGAAACUGCAUUCGAUACUGCCGUGCUUGAGGACUGGAGAGGAGACUGGAAUUUACGGUGUAGCGGUGAAAUGCGUAGAGAUCGGCAGGAACACCCAGGGGGAAACCAGCUGCCUGGGCAAGCGCUGACGCUGAGGUGCGAGAGCGUGGGGAGCAAAAGGG
rnacentral:rRNA from 1 species